UCCUACGGGGGGCAGCAGUAGGGAAUUUUCGUCAAUGGGCGCAUGCCUGAACGAGCGAUGCCGCGUGAGUGAAGAAGGCCUUCGGGUCGUAAAGCUCUGUUGCGGGGGAAAAAAGGCGGCAUCGGGAAAUGGGUGCUGACUGAUGGUGCCCCGCCAGAAAGUCACGGCUAACUACGUGCCAGCAGCCGCGGUAAUACGUAGGUGGCGAGCGUUAUCCGGAAUGAUUGGGCGUAAAGGGUGCGCAGGCGG
rnacentral:rRNA from 1 species